GGGGAAUAUUGCGCAAUGGGCGAAAGCCUGACGCAGCGAGGCCGCGUGAGGGAUGAAGGCCUUCGGGUCGUAAACCUCUGUCAGGAGGGAAGAACCGCCAUGGUGCUAAUCAGCCAUGGUCUGACGGUACCUCCAAAGGAAGCACCGGCUAACUCCGUGCCAGCAGCCGCGGUAAUACGGAGGGUGCAAGCGUUAAUCGGAAUCACUGGGCGUAAAGCGCACGUAGGCUGUUUGGUAAGGCAGGGGUGAAAUCCCGCGGCUCAACCGCGGAUUUGCCUUGAUACUGGUGGACUUGAGCUCGGGUGAGGGUGGCGGGAUUCCGGGCGUAGGAGGGAAAACCGUAGAUAUCUGGAGGAACAUAAGUGGCGAAGGCGACCACCUGGACCGAUACUGACGCUGAGGUGCGAACGCGUGGGGAGCAAACA
rnacentral:rRNA from 1 species